GAUGAAGAACGUAGCGAAAUGCGAUAAGUAAUGUGAAUUGCAGAAUUCAGUGAAUCAUCGAAUCUUUGAACGCAUCUUGCGCUCCUUGGUAUUCUGAGGAGCAUGCCUGUUUGAGUGUCAUUAAAUUCUCAACUACACUGACUUUGAAUUGGUGUGGCUUGGAUUUGGGGAGAAAAUUGUUGUGGGCUUUUUGUAUAGUCUGCUCCCCUGAAAUUGAUUAGCGGUACCUUUGUGGAACUGUCUACAGGUGUGAUAAUUAUCUACAUCUUAGACAUCUGCUGGAAUGCUGCUCUCUAAACCUUACUUGUAUUGACAAUCUUGACCUCAAAUCAGGUAGGACUACCCGCUGAACUUAAGCAUAUCAAUAAGCGGAGGA
rnacentral:misc_RNA from 1 species